AUCGAUACUGCUUCCAGCUCUAUACACUGCUUCUCUCGCUCUUCCGCCCGCAACUAAAACUCUGGAUCCGCGAUAAAUGUUAAGAAAAUAAAGACACCGCUCUAAUUAAAUGGCCAACCACAAGUGUACAGUGCGCGCAAUGUGAUCAGUGAUCAGUGGAGAGUGAUAUCCGAGAUCGGGCCACGAAACCAAGAUCGCCAUUGAGCAAUCCGGGAACGGCGUCUGUUGAAAAGGGACGCUGCUGCAACCAGAAAAAGGAGUGGUAGCUCGCUGCUCUAUGGAUAAAACCUAACAUUAUCUCUGGUGGCCCGCCCCAAAGGAACCUCCGCAUCCGUCUAAAUAUACCUUGAAGUCCGCUCCUGGCGAGCCUCCCCAGUAAAAUCGGCGGAAUCGGGCCAAGAAGAGAAUCACAUGAGGUGAACAAAACAGAUUUGUUGUGCGCAAAUUGCACACUCACA
rnacentral:sRNA from 1 species